GCCGGGGUAGCCUAGCCAGGCUAAUGGCUUUUAUUUAAGCUUACGGGCCGCGUGGGUUCGAAUCCCACCCCCGGCGCCA
rnacentral:tRNA from 2 species